UGGUGGCUUAGUUUGGGGCCCCUAUCUUUUAAGACUUUUCAUAAUGAUGUUAAGACCAGGGCAGACUGUCUACUGGCCAUGGACUGCAGCCAGGAGAUGCCCUGCCCCUCCUGGGACCUGCACACCACCUCUCUGGGGAACUUGACAAAGGUCCCUAAGGCUAAGGGAGGUCUCCCUCCUACUAGGUCCCUGACUUUGACUCUGUGGUUCUCUAGGAACCGUGUGCACACUUGUCUCUGUUGUAACUACAAAGGGCAGUAGCAUCCAGCAUGUCAGUGUCUGCCCGGGCUGCCUGCCUCCUACCCACCCAGCACUAUUCUCUGGGCUGGCUGUUCACCCAGAGGCAGUUCUCAUUUUGUUUCUGGUGGACAAGCCUUGAGCUGAAAAUCUCUUCGUUUUCUUUGACUAGAAAAUGUAAGGUUUCUGUUUUUUAAGUUUUAGUUUUAAGGAAUGGAUACUUAUCUCUGGAUGCCAUCUGUGUUCUGACCCUAGUGGGUGGGUGGGCCUUACCGUCUCCCCUUAGUCCCCGUUCUGCCUUGUGGUGCCCUCCUUUCCUUCCAGAAGUAGGGAGUGGGUUCUGGCUCCUCCUAAGUGCUUACAGAGUCACUGUCUGCUUGUUUCUUGGAGAAGCCUCUGGAAUGAAAAGCGGCAGGGAAACAAACCGGAAGGAGCACGCCUAGAGGUUGACAUCUUGGAGAACAAAGUGUUCACAUAAGCUUGGCUCCUCUGUUGGCUUUAGGACCCAAGGCUGCACAGAAAGAGUUGAGCUCUGCUCUUUAUCUUGCUGUGGAAGUCUCCUGACUCCCUCUAGGAGCUGACAGCUGAAGCCUGAAGCUCUUGCACUUGGAUCCUUGAAUUCUAAGGAGUAACCAGGCUCCAGAAGCCAACUUCUAUUUGGCUUUCCGUGGGUUUGUCUUAGGAUGAGAAGUGUCAUCACUUCCUAAACAUCCUGUUCUCAGCUAUGGCAGCCUCAGAAAAGACACCUGAAUGAGUUAGAACCCUGCAGGAAUGUACAUUCAAGAGAUGUCUUGAUAAAGAACUACGUGCUUUUGGAAAGAGCCACCCUUUGGAGGACCUGUUAGUCACCUUUAUCUUCAGCCCAAAGGCUAAGUUAUGUGGGUCUGACUCCUUUGGUUAGGGACAGCACUAGACAGUGACCCUAACCCUUGGUCCAUACUCCCUGCUGUGAUGGUGCUGUGGUCUGCUUUCCACUCAGGCAGCUCCUACAGUCCUCCAGCCUGGGGACAGAUGGGAAGCUUUCCAGGGGCCCCCCGAGAGGUGUGCUCCCUGUAAGAGGGGCCUGUAAGAGGAGCUCUUGGUUUCCAGGGCAAAGCCCUACCCACAGCUUCUUUAACAUCUGUUAAUUAAGUGCAAUAAAAUUUUCUAGAAAAAGGCAAAGAUGAUUUCCAGGUAGAGAUUGCUGUCUUUUGGUGUUGGAUGCCAGAACACCACUUGGUUUUAUUUUUCUAAGUGCAUGUGAUUGGUAGAGUGUGUGGGCUCUGCAUCCUCCCUGGGAGCUGCAUUCCAGCAGCCCCUCUCCCUACCUUUGCCGUGGGAAAGAGGCCAGGAGAAAAGCCCUUUGUCCCAGCUGCAGAGGUGGAAGCAGACAGCAGCCCUUUGGCCUUACAUGUGUGUGUGUGCCUGUGCGAGUGUGUCCCUGCUGGUGGGCCGGAGUGAUGUGUUAUGGAGGGAAGUUGGGAAUGUAUCCUUUUCAAACAAAAUUAAAUAUUUUGAGACG
rnacentral:lncRNA from 1 species